GACGAACCGUGCGAACGUUGUUCGGAAUCACUGGGCUUAAAGGGCGCGUAGGCGGGCCGUCAAGUCAGGGGUGAAAGCCCCCAGCUCAACUGGGGAAGUGCCUUUGAUACUGACGAUCUCGAGGGAGGUAGGGGCGUGCGGAACUUCCGGUGGAGCGGUGAAAUGCGUAGAUAUCGGAAGGAACGCCGGUGGCGAAAGCGGCGCGCUGGACCUCUUCUGACGCUGAGGCGCGAAAGCCAGGGGAGCAAAGCGGG
rnacentral:rRNA from 1 species